AUGCCUCCUGCUGUUCUUCUCAUCGGCUGUCUACUCGCCACAAUCAGCUGUUUAACCACAGCUCAAACUGGAAUCGCUCCAUCUGGACUGGCUACAAAUACUACAACUACCACAUCAAUUAUCUCCUUACCUAUUACAAUACCACCUACACCAGCACUGACUACAACAAUGACUACAACUACAACACCGCCUACACCAGCACCAACUACAUCAUCAUCUUCACCAGCACUGGUUACAACUACAACAGCACGAACUUCAACGUCAUUUACACCACCAACUACUACAACUACAGUCCAUCCACCAGCAUCUCGCAUUAACACUGCAGAUCCUACCUUCGAUCCUACCUCCGACUCCACUACAGCUUCUACCUCCAACACCACUACAGAUCCUACCUUCGAUCCUCCCUUCGACUCCACUACAGCUCCUACCUCCGACUCCACUACAGCUUCUACCUCCAACACCACUGCAGAUCCUACCUUCGAUCCUCCCUUCGACUCCACUACAGCUCCUACCUCCGACUCCACUACAGCUUCUACCUCCAACACCACUACAGAUCCUACCUUCGAUCCUCCCUUCGACUCCACUACAGCUCCUACCUCCGACUCCACUACAGCUUCUACCUCCAACACCACUACAGAUCCUACCUUCGAUCCUCCCUUCGACUCCACUACAGCUCCUACCUCCGACUCCACUACAGCUUCUACCUCCAACACCACUACAGAUCCUACCUUCGAUCCUCCCUUCGACUCCACUACAGCUCCUACCUCCGACUCCACUACAGAUCCUACCUCCAACACCACUACAGAUCCUACCUUCGAUCCUCCCUUCGACUCCACUACAGCUCCUACCUCCGACUCCACUACAGCUCCUACCUCCAACACCACUACAGAUCCUACCUUCGAUCCUACCUCCGACUCCACUACAGAUCCUACCUCCAACACCACUGCAGAUCCUACCUUCGAUCCUCCCUUCGACUCCACUACAGCUCCUACCUCCGACUCCACUACAGCUUCUACCUCCAACACCACUACAGAUCCUACCUUCGAUCCUCCCUUUGACUCCACUACAACUCCUACCUCCAACACCACUACAGAUCCUACCUCCAACACCACUGCAGAUCCUACCUUCGAUCCUCCCUUCGACUCCACUACAGCUCCUACCUCCGACUCCACUACAGAUCCUACCUCCAACACCACUGCAGAUCCUACCUUCGAUCCUCCCUUUGACUCCACUACAGCUCCUACCUCCAACUCUACUGCAGCUCCACCCAAAGUACUCACUAUUCUCGAGAUGAAGGUGAAGACGCUGAAUGAAGAAGAGCGUCAGGCUGAACUGCUUGAGGUUGGCAAAGUGCUGGAGAGUUUCUUAAGAGCGAAUUAUACUGGCAACUUCUCUGUUAAAGUCACGAAAAUUAAAAAGUUAUCACCAUAG
ensembl:lncRNA